rnacentral:sRNA from 1 species
AUAAAAACUCGAACUACAACCAGAUCUUGAAAGCCCAAGUAGUGUUUCCUUGUUAGAAGAUACAAAGCCAAAUUCUCAUACGGACUUUGGUUAAACCAUCAAAGCUUUGAGAAGCAAGAAGAAGCUUGGUUAGUGUUUUGGAU